UCGCAUCGUUAAAGAACGCAGCGAAAUGCGAUAAGUAGUUUGAAUUGCAGAAUUCAGUGAAUCAUUGAAUCUUUGAACGCACAUUGCGCCCCUUGGUAUUCCAUGGGGCAUGCCUGUUCGAGCGUCAUUUG
rnacentral:rRNA from 1 species